rnacentral:rRNA from 1 species
GACGAACGCUGGCGGCGUGCUUAACACAUGCAAGUCGAACGGAGUGGCGAACGGGUGAGUAACACGUGGGUGACCUGCCCUGCACUUCGGGAUAAGCCUGGGAAACUGGGUCUAAUACCGGAUAGUGUGGGAUGGGCCCGCGGCCUAUCAGCUUUUUGGUGGGGUAAUGGCCUACCAAGGCGGCGCCGGGUAGGCCGCCUGGGAGGGUGGACGGCCACAUUGGGACUGUGACACGUCCCAGACGGCUAUGGGAGGCAUCAGUGGGGAAUCUUGCACAAUGGGCGGACGCCUGAUGCAGCGGCGCCGCGGGGGUGAUGACGUCCUUGUGGUUGUAAACUCCUUUCACCAUCGACGCGGUAGAUGGAGAAGAAGCACCGGCUAACUACGUGCCAGCAGCCGCGGUAAUUC